rnacentral:lncRNA from 1 species
UUUUUAUAACAUACUUCAUGGGUUGCUUUGCAGCAGUUCACUAAGCAACAACACAGGUAAUAGAGAUGGAACCAACGGUCAAAUCACAAGUGAUAACAAGAUGCUGGUGAUAAGGUUGUUUUAAAGACAUUCUGUCAGAAUUAUAAGCAGUAAGAAAUGACCUGCAGGAAGGCACCAGAGUGGGUGCUGUGCAGAAAAGAGACAUUAACAAGAGUUUCAUGUAGAGAAAAUGUCAUCAAUUCUUCCCACCUCCUUGUAUUUACAGCUUUUCUCGUGUAAUGUACAGUACUCACCUUCCAUGA